CAGAGUUGCAAAACUCCCAACCAUUGUGAACCUACCUCAUCGUUGCCUCGGCGGGUGGCCCCUCCCCUCACCCGGGUCGGGCCGCGUCGGCACCCGGAUUCCCGGCGCCGGCAAUCCCGUCAGAGGACCCGCAACUCUUCGUCAUCAUUGGCCUCUCUGAGUAACUUAUACAAUAAGUCA
rnacentral:misc_RNA from 1 species